rnacentral:rRNA from 1 species
GAUGAACGCUGGCGGCGUGCCUAAUACAUGCAAGUCGAGCGAACAGACGAGGAGCUUGCUCCUCUGACGUUAGCGGCGGACGGGUGAGUAACACGUGGAUAACCUACCUAUAAGACUGGGAUAACUUCGGGAAACCGGAGCUAAUACCGGAUAAUAUAUUGAACCGCAUGGUUCAAUAGUGAAAGACGGUUUUGCUGUCACUUAUAGAUGGAUCCGCGCCGCAUUAGCUAGUUGGUAAGGUAACGGCUUACCAAGGCGACGAUGCGUAGCCGACCUGAGAGGGUGAUCGGCCACACUGGAACUGAGACACGGUACAGACUCCUACGGGAGGCAGCAGUAGGGAAUCUUCCGCAAUGGGCGAAAGCCUGACGGAGCAACGCCGCGUGAGUGAUGAAGGUCUUCUGAUCGUAAAACUCUGUUAUUAGGGAAGAACAAAUGUGUAAGUAACUAUGCACGUCUUGACGGUACCUAAUCAGAAAGCCACGGCUAACUACGUG